rnacentral:rRNA from 1 species
GUCCUAGCUGUAAACGAUGGACACUAGGUGUUGGUGGUAUCAACCCCGCCAGUGCCGAAGCUAACGCAUUAAGUGUCCCGCCUGGGGAGUACGGCCGCAAGGCUAAAACUCAAAGGAAUUGACGGGGCCCCCGCACAAGCAGCGGAGCGUGGGGUUUAAUUCGACGCGACGCGAAGAACCUUACCAAGGCUUGACAUGGUCGAGACACCGGCAGAAAUGUCGGCUCCCCGCAAGGGGCUCGAUCACAGGUGUUGCAUGGCUGUCGU